CCUACGGGAGGCAGCAGUGGGGAAUAUUGCGCAAUGGGCGAAAGCCUGACGCAGCGACGCCGCGUGAGGGAUGAAGGUCUUCGGAUCGUAAACCUCUGUCAGCAGGGAAGAACGGUCACUGUGCUAAUCAGCAGUGAAUUGACGGUACCUGCAAAGGGAGCACCGGCUAACUCCGUGACAGCAGCCGCGGUAAUACGGAGGUUGCGAGCGUUAAUCGGAAUUACUGGGCGUAAAGCGCUCGUAGGCGGUAUGGCAAGUCAAGUGUGAAAUCCCCGCGCGCAACGUGGGAACUGCCUUUGAAACUGGCAAACUGGAGUGUGUGAGAGGAUAGUGGAAUUCCAGGUGUAGGAGUGAAAUCCGUAGAUAUCUGGAGGAACAUCAGUGGCGAAGGCGACUAUCUGGCACAUAACUGACGCUGAGGAGCGAAAGCGUGGGUAGCAAACAGGAUUAGAUACCCUAGUAGUC
rnacentral:rRNA from 1 species